CAUAGCUUUUUGUUACUCUUUUAAUACUACAUCUUCUUGAUGCCUUCCUGAAUCUAUUUACUUUUUAAAAGAGAAAGUUGCCUUUAACAUGGAUUCCUUUUGCAAAUUAUUUGCCUUAUUUCUUAUUUACUCCUGAAGUAUUAAUUUUGGCCUUUUGUCAUAUGUGCGAAAUGUUAAUGUAUUCAUGUGUUUUAAAUGCUGCAGAUAUUUGGUCUACUGGUUGGUGAUAUUUGCUUACAAGUUCACAUUUGCCUACUUUCUUCAAGCAGAUCAAACCACUAGUUGGACCUACUAAGGUGAUAAGGCGUAUGUCUGCCCUACAGUAGUCAUGGCAUGAUUUUAUAUCAAAGAGUAAGCCAGCUUUUCUUA